UCAUGUUGAAACACCUAUUCCGUGCAAUCACCGAAGUUAAGCAUCGUCGAGUCUGGUCAGUACCUUGAUGGGUGAUCACUUGGGAAUGUCAGGUGCUGUAU